AGCGAACGCUGGCGGCAGGCCUAAUACAUGCAAGUCGAACGCACCUUCGGGUGAGUGGCGGACGGGUGAGUAACACGUGGGAACGUGCCCUUUGGUUCGGAAUAAUCCGGGGAAACCUGGCCUAAUACCGGAUGUGCCCUACGGGGGAAAGAUUUAUCGCCAUUGGAGCGGCCCGCGUCUGAUUAGCUAGUUGGUGAGGUAAAGGCUCACCAAGGCUACGAUCAGUAGCUGGUCUGAGAGGAUGAUCAGCCACACUGGGACUGAGACACGGCCCAGACUCCUACGGGAGGCAGCAGUAGGGAAUCUUGCGCAAUGGGCGAAAGCCUGACGCAGCCAUGCCGCGUGAAUGAUGAAGGUCUUAGA
rnacentral:rRNA from 1 species